rnacentral:sRNA from 1 species
GCCAGGUGUGGUGGUUCACGCCUGUAAUCCAAGCACUUUGGAGGCCAAGGUGGGUGGAUCACCUGAGGUCGGGAGUUCAAGACCAUCCUGACCAACAUGGUGAAACCUCAUCUUUU